AUGAGAACAGAAAUUCAGCCUGGCAGGUGGGGUGGGGCACCUGCUGUCCUGGGAGGUACAGGUCGGAUACGUAUACACACGCACACAGGGAAUCUCGGCCCUACUGCCUUGCCACCCACUCCUCAAGUCUCCAUGGAGAGGCAAAGGAGGGACCCAGACACUCAGGGGGACACUGGAAAAAGCCCAACACAGAAAGCCGGCCACCGUCACCUUGAAGGGGUGGGGGCUGUGCCUGUCUCCUGUGGUCCUGAGGCUCAAGACAGCACCCAGUGGGACUUGGCUGCAACCAGCCAAACCAUUCCUCUGACCAACCACAUCAUCCCCGCAGCGCUCAGGCCACCUCCUGAUGGCAGGUCGGCGGGGGUGAGGCCUCGGCGUCCGGCACGUGUAGCACAGUGUCUGGGAGCAUUUGGCAGCCUAAAGGUUGUGGGCAGUGGGAAAUGCAAAGUGACAAGAAUCCUCUGUGCUGAGGGCAUCCCAUUUUUUUACCGUUGGCAAAAAAAAAAAAAAAAACAAAAAGAAAAGAAAAGAAAAAUCAAAGAAACAAAAUCCAUCGUCGGUUUUGUGCUGGGUUUUUUCUUUUUGUUCUUGAGUGGUUUUUUUUCCCAUCUUUGUUGUUGUUGUUUUUUAAAAGAAAAUACAGUGAAGACACUAAAAAGGGGGAGAAAGAAGACAGAUCAGAUCCUCAUUUGCCUCUGGCCACCCAUCCACCAGCCCGCCGCAGCUCCUAUAUUGUCCCAAGUCUUUGAGUGGGUCCCUCUCUGGGGCACACAGCAGGUGCCUGACUUUCACGGGUAGGACGCAGAAUCUCUCUCUCCUGUGCCAUCUUGGUGAACAGUCACCCCCAGCCACACAUCUGCCCUGCCCUGCUGGGAUGGACUGGUUCCUGGGCCUGAGAUCUGACGAAGGUGAGCCCCGCUCUAUGUCCCAGCUCUAACUGUGGAAUGAAUUUCCACAAAGCAAAUCAUACUCAGGAUGUCCUAGUGUGCGGCCAAGUCAGCUGAGCUCCCUGAAAUGUGAACUGCUGCCUGUCCAUGUACAAAUACCCCAGGGAGCUCAGACCUCGCCUCACCCAAGAGCCCCCUGCCAUGCCCCCCGUCCCCAAGCCAGAGCUGCCACAUUCCCCCUCAAGGCCACCUGCAGCCUGGAAGUCCCAUCAGGCUCACACUGGCCAGGGGCCUCUCCCGGGCUUGUGGAGGCCACUGAGGACCUUCUCUGACAGCAGAGAAACUCCUAAGUUCAUGGCCCUUUCUAAGUGCUUUGCAUGAAUUAAUGUACUUAACAGCCCAGAGGCUGAGACUGGGCUAAGGUGGGUGGGGAGGGGGUGUCAAGGUGUGGGCCCCCUGGGCUCAGUCUUUGCUAGGAAACAACUUUCCAGAAUGUGAAGGCAGAGUGGGGGAUGGAGGACUGGCCCAAGGGCAGAGAAAGGGUUUUCCAGCAGAAAUUAACCAGUUCGGGCCAGGCCAGCUCAGAGGAGGCCUUGGCCCUCAGUCAGGCAGGCUCUGAGGUUUUAAUGUCCCUUGAAGAUCUUUGGUUUUGGGGAUCCCUGGCACCAUCUGCCACUCCCCCCACCCCUCCACAACACACACUGGUCUCCCCCUGGGGCCGUGGGGUUCUACACACAGCCGGGCCGCGUC
rnacentral:lncRNA from 1 species